CAGUCGCCACGGUAAUACGGAGGGUGCAAGCGUUAAUCGGAAUUACUGGGCGUAAAGCGCACGCAGGCGGUCUGACAAGUCAGAUGUGAAAUCCCCGGGCUUAACCUGGGAACUGCAUUUGAAACUGUCAGGCUGGAGUCUUGUAGAGGGGGGUAGAAUUCCAGGUGUAGCGGUGAAAUGCGUAGAGAUCUGGAGGAAUACCGGUGGCGAAGGCGGCCCCCUGGACAAAGACUGACGCUCAGGUGCGAAAGCGUGGAGAGCAAACAGGAUUAGAUACCCGCGUAGUCCCUGUCUCUUAUAC
rnacentral:rRNA from 1 species